rnacentral:snoRNA from 1 species
ACAAGAAGUGAUGAUUUGUACCCAUCAUUUCUGCUGUUGAAUGAUGAAUAUUUACAUGCACUACCAUCUGAUCUACG